rnacentral:rRNA from 1 species
AGGACGAACGCUGGCGGCGUGCUUAACACAUGCAAGUCGAGCGAGGCUCCUCCUUCGGGAGGAUGUCCUAGCGGCGAACGGGUGAGUAACACGUGGGCAACCUGCCCCUAGCACUGGGAUAACCCCGGGAAACCGGGCUAAUACCGGAUAUCACUUCGGAAGGCAUCUUCUGAAGUUGAAAGGGGUUACUGGCUAGGGAUGGGCCCGCGGCCUAUCAGCUUGUUGGUGGGUAACGCCUACCAAGGCGACGACGGGUAGCCGGCCUGAGAGGGUGACCGGCCACACUGGGACUGAGACACGGCCCAGACUCCUACGGGAGGCAGCAGUGGGAAUAUUGGACAAUGGGCGAAAGCCUGAUCCAGCAACGCCGCGUGAGGGAUGACGGCCUUCGGGUUGUAAACCUCUUUCAGCAGGGACGAAGCGCAAGUGACGGUACCUGCAGAAGAGCACGGCCAACUACGUGCCAGCAGCCGC